AAUUAUUUUGUCGAAUUAUUUCGAAGAAAUGAUAGAACGAUACAUAUAAUUAAUUGGAGAAAUAAUUCAUUUAAUACGAAAUCGUAUUAGAAUCAUCGCACGCAAAAUUUCUAGUCUUCUAUAGUUUUCUGAUACAAGACAGAUUGAAGAAAGAAGAAAAGAAAACAAAAAUUAGCCUAAAAUAUCACGUAAAAGAAGAUGGAAUUAGUUUAAAGAAAACAAAAAAAAAAAAAAGAAAAGAAAAAGAAAAAAUAAUAUCCGGUAACUUUUGACCCCGUCAAAGUAUAAUGAUCUCAUGACAGUUCUUUUUUGUUCUCUCUUUAAAUAUUUUCUUGUUUUUUUUUUGUUUUUGUUUUUUUUCUUCUUCUUCUUUUUUUUUUACAUAUUUCAGGAAAGAAGUUCAAUUCAAGUUAGUCAAGGAGAGUUGAUCAGUUAGUUUAAUAUAUUUCUUUGGGACUUGGCCAUUUGUACUUUCUUCCUGGCUAAGUGAAAGAAAAAGAAAGAAAGAAAGAAAGAAAGAAAGACAUUUCGGCAUGGACAAAACAUUAUCAGUCGUUGUCGUCGUCGCCAUCAUCUAAGGCAGUUUGUGUGACGGUACCUCGAUGAAAAACUUUCCUUCUGAGUUCUGAGGCCUGCUAUCCUCAGUUAAGGUCAAUGACCGAAAAAUGACCUGCAUCUCUUCGGAUUAAAUAAAUGGAUUGAUGGUAAAAUUUUGGAAGAUCGACAGAGAGACAGAGAGAAGAGAAAAAGAAAGAGAGACCUAAAGAACUAAAGAACAAAAAAGAAGAAGAAGAAGAAGAAGAAGAAGAAGAAAAAGGAUAGAGUGAGGGUUACGAAAAUUUCGAAGAGGACGACUUGAUAAUGCAUCAGAACUCGUUGCACCUGUGGAGAGUACAUACUGAUUCGGGCUAACUCCUCUCUUGCGCUUACUUUCUUAGCGUAUGCAUUAAACGCACGUACAUCAGCCUGGGGCCCUAACAGCUUCUCUCUCUUUCUCUCUCUCUCUCUCUCUUUCUCUUCGGUUAGGUUGGUGCUCGGACUUGCUUGCACCGGCAAUCACGAUAAUCGUGAAGUUUAUCGAGAAGAAGCUUGGCUGUGAUUAACGAGGAUCGCUUUAAAUCUUCUGAGGAAAGGAAGACUACGUGAUAUGGUUGUGAUGGUAUUGAUGGUGUUUGUGAUGGUUACUAGUGGAUAGCGUUGUUUUCAUUGAAAUACAUGCCAUCAUUCUUUCUCUCUCUCUCUUUCUCUCUCUCUCUCUCUCUCUCUCUCUGUCUUUCUUUUUAUCCACUGUCUCUUUUAUAAACCCAUGAAAUUACAAAUGAAUAUUCUUUACAACUUUUGUCAAUGUCAACAAAAAGAAAGAGAGAAACAAUGAAAGAGAAAGAGAGAGAGAGAGAGAGAACCGUAGAAACAGAUUCUAAGCGUUUCAAUUUCAACGUUUAACAUCAAUUCCAAGGGAAAUUAAAUUGAUUGACUUCAAUUGAAGUUUAAUUGAAUGCCAGCGGGAGAUAAAUUUCAUUGAAAAUUGCGACUGCAAUUAAGUUUUCUACUUCGAAUCUAUCACGUCUACCUUUUUUAUUUUCUCUUAUGGAAAUAAAUGAGAAAUGACAAAUAAUCAAUUAUGCAUCGAAACGAUGAACAAUAAAUAAUGUCGCAAUAAUUUUUCAAUGAUCGUCAAUAUUCUUUUAAUGACGCGUCAUUGAUUUAUUUUACGUGUUAAACGUUAAGAGAAAAAAUGUUUUUCGAUUGUCGAUUGGAUCAAGUGAAAAACAAAAACAAAAGGGGAAAAAAAAGUAAAAUAAUAAUAAAAAGGAAAAGAGGAAGAAAGAAAAGGUGAUAAAAAGAAUCCACAUUUCCGUGUAAAAUAACAAGUCGCAAUUUUCACUGAAACGCACCGAUAUUAAACCUAACUCGCAGUGAUUAUUUAUUUGCGCAAAUGAUUAUUUAUUUAUGCAUUUAUUAUAAAGUAUAGUAAAAAAAAAAAAAAAAAAAAAGAAAGAAAAAAAAAGAAAAAAAUUAUCACCACGAUCAAUUAAA